UUGGUUGAUCCUGCCAGUAGUGUAUGCUUCUCCUAAAGACUAAGCCAUGCAUGCCUAAGAAUAAGAGGAAGCAAUUCUCUCUGAAUCUGCGAACGGCUCCGCAAACCAGUUGUAAACUAUAGCAAGCAAGCCCGGGAUCGGCCUUCACGGGCUGGUUCCGGGUGAUAUGGAUAACCCUGGUAAUUCUGAGGCUAAUACAUGACCGUAAAACCUAGCUGACCGGCUUCGGCUGGGAUGCUGGGGGACGUGUGAUUUGGGCUUGGUAACACCGGGAAGGGGCGCACGUCUAGACCACGCUAUAAAGGUCGGUUUCCCCUUCGGGGGGGGCUGUCCCAGUGGCUCUUGCUGUGUGCUUCUGACCUAUCAACUAGACGGCAGCGUAAGGGACAUGCUAUGGUGACAACGGGUACAGAGGAUUAGGGUUCGAUCCUGGAGAGUGGGCCUGAGAGAUUGCUCAUACUUCUAAGGAAGGCAGCAGGCGCGCAACGUUCCCCUUGGGCNNUGCCCGAGGGCGUUAGGGGACAUAUGAAUGCCUGCCCA
rnacentral:rRNA from 1 species